rnacentral:rRNA from 1 species
AACGAACGCUGGCGGCAGGCUUAACACAUGCAAGUCGAGCGCCCCGCAAGGGGAGCGGCAGACGGGUGAGUAACGCGUGGGAAUCUACCCAUCUCUACGGAAUAACGCAUGGAAACGUGUGCUAAUACCGUAUACGUCCUUCGGGAGAAAGAUUUAUCGGAGAUGGAUGAGCCCGCGUUGGAUUAGCUAGUUGGUGGGGUAAAGGCCUACCAAGGCGACGAUCCAUAGCUGGUCUGAGAGGAUGAUCAGCCACACUGGGACUGAGACACGGCCCAGACUCCUACGGGAGGCAGCAGUGGGGAAUAUUGGACAAUGGGCGCAAGCCUGAUCCAGCCAUGCCGCGUGAGUGACGAAGGCCCUAGGGUUGUAAAGCUCUUUCACCGGUGAAGAUAAUGACGGUAACCGGAGAAGAAGCCCCGGCUAACUUCGUGUCAGCCGCCGCGGUAAGAC